CAUCCUCCCAGCCACCCCUCCUCCCAUCCUCACUUUCAUUCAUUUAUUCAUUUAACCAUCCAUCCAUCUUUCUCCGUCUUGUUCUCCAGGAACAACACAGUGCCUACCUGGCUCCAUAUUUGUUGAAUAAACAAAUGAUAAAUCUAAGGCAGCCUCUGCUCCUAUAGUGCUCAUGCAGGCAUAUGCAGACAAUUACAACACAGCAU
rnacentral:lncRNA from 1 species